GACCUAGUGGUGAAUGGAUCACACCCACAACUCCAUCUCGAGGAAACAUUGGAAUAUGUUGAUUGGAGGCCCCGGUUCGACCCCGGGUUAGGUCA